rnacentral:rRNA from 1 species
CCCAUGGCUCAGAUUGAACGCUGGCGGCAGGCCUAACACAUGCAAGUCGAGCGGUAGAGAGAAGCUUGCUUCUCUUGAGAGCGGCGGACCGGGUGAGUAAUGCCUAGGAAUCUGCCUGGUAGUGGGGGAUAACGCUCGGAAACGGACGCUAAUACCGCAUACGUCCUACGGGAGAAAGCAGGGGACCUUCGGGCCUUGCGCUAUCAGAUGAGCCUAGGUCGGAUUAGCUAGUUGGUGAGGUAAUGGCUCACCAAGGCGACGAUCCGUAACUGGUCUGAGAGGAUGAUCAGUCACACUGGAACUGAGACACGGUCCAGACUCCUACGGGAGGCAGCAGUGGGGAAUAUUGGACAAUGGGCGAAAGCCUGAUCCAGCCAUGCCGCGUGUGUGAAGAAGGUCUUCGGAUUGUAAAGCACUUUAAGUUGGGAGGAAGGGCAGUAAAUUAAUACUUUGCUGUUUUGACGUUACCGACAGAAUAAGCACCGGCUAAC